rnacentral:rRNA from 1 species
ACGGAAGGCAGCAGUGGGGAAUAUUGCACAAUGGGCGAAAGCCUGAUGCAGCGACGCCGCGUGAGUGAAGAAGUAUUUCGGUAUGUAAAGCUCUAUCAGCAGGGAAGAAAAAUGACGGUACCUGACUAAGAAGCACCGGCUAAAUACGUGCCAGCAGCCGCGGUAAUACAUAUGGUGCAAGCGUUAUCCGGAUUUACUGGGUGUAAAGGGAGCGCAGGCGGUACGGCAAGUCUGAUGUGAAAGCCCGGGGCUCAACCCCGGUACUGCAUUGGAAACUGUCGAACUAGAGUGUCGGAGGGGUAAGUGGAAUUCCUAGUGUAGCGGUGAAAUGCGUAGAUAUUAGGAGGAACACCAGUGGCGAAGGCGGCUUACUGGACGAUAACUGACGCUGAGGCUCGAAAGCGUGGGGAGCAAACAGGAUUAGAUACCCUGGUA